ensembl:lncRNA
UCAGAAAUAGCAGGGAUGUUCUUGUUGACGUUGGCAUGAUUUAGAGGUCUGUAAGGAGUUUAUUGACAAAAGGUUUAGUAAGGCCCGUAAUGUUGUUUCAUCAGUGUUUCACAACUUCAUCUGGGGAGGAGACGGCGAUAAUAAAGGUAUUUGUCCAUCAUUUGGAGCCGUUUCUUUUCUGUAGAGUUAGGUGGGAAGACAGAUACCAAUCUCACAUCUCUUUGGAAAAUGUAAGGAUAUAGGACAUAGCAGAUGCUUAGCUUAGCUCAGCAUAAAGUCUAGAAACGGGGGGACAAAGGUAGUCGAGCUCUCUCAUUAAAUGAAUGCAUUAACAAAAAGGUGUGAAUAUCAUAUUCUCUCUUUUUUGGAGGUUACGGCUCCCUUCUACGGUUUAGUCUGGUACAUAAUCCCCCAUGAACAACUUCUGGAGAGAUUUUGUUCCAUUAGUCCGAGUCAGGCUAGCUGUUUGUACGCUUUGUGCUAAGCUACAUUCAAGUUAAGUGGCCGCUCCAAACUGCAACGCUUCAAAGUGCAGUAUUUGACCUCUGACCCCAGACCCGUACACUAGCUGUGACGUAUCCACCAAAAAAUUGAAACAUCGUAUGUGAUGAGUGGUAUUUCCUCAAAGAAUGGACAUAAAGUGGAGCAGAACUCCACGGCGUUGGAUGUUAAUCCCUCUGACAUGCAGACCAGUCAACAGCGGCUGAGGACUUGAUCGUGCACGUGAUCCCCGACCGGUGCUGCUGCAUCAUGGAAACCUGUCAAACCGCUCGCAGAGGAAUCUUUGCGGUAUAUUUAACAAAGAACAUGGGCACUAAAUAAAAGCUACGCAGGUGCUGACGACUGGCAAAUUGGAGCAAUGUAGGAUGACUGACAUUAGUGUUCGGAGAUGAACUGGCUUGAGACCCUUUUGGUUGAUUCUCCUUUUGAUUAGUGAUGUAGAACAGUCUCAUUUGAAGUUGUGUGUCUGAUGCUCUUUAAGUUCUUCUUGUCACAGCAUGUGUUGCGUUUUUAGGGAAAACGUUUAAAACAUGGACAGACACAAAAUCAAUUUGAGCUGUUUCACUGCUGUUAAAGGACCAGUAAAACGUUCAAAGCCAUUCAAAGCGUUUGGAGUUUUUCUCAUUUUGUUGCAUUGUCGCACAUAACAUUUGAGCGUCCCGCUAUCAUUUCCUUGUGAUAGCUGUUCCAUGUUUCAUCACUCACUCGCAUCCGCAGUCCGCCGCAGCAAAGGCCUCAGAGAUAUGCACGUGAAUUGUUGAUGCACCUGGAGCAGAGGGUCAGCAAUACGUUUCAACACAAAGAUAAUGGAACUG